rnacentral:rRNA from 1 species
GAUCAUGGCUCAGGAUGAACGCUAGCUACAGGCUUAACACAUACAAGUCGAGGGGAAACGGACAUCGAAAGCUUGCUUUUGAUGGGCGUCGACCGGCGCACGGGUGAGUAACGCGUAUCCAACCUGCCCAUCACUUGGGAAUAACCUUGCGAAAGUAAGACUAAUGCCCAAUGAUGUCCCACGAAGGCAUCCGAAUGGGAUUAAAGAUUUAUCGUGAUGGAUGGGGAUGCGU